GAAAAUUUUCCUGUGGCAGACAAUUAUUAGCAAAUCUACUUCAACUGUUUGAUGUCAGCUUUUGCUGUCAUUGCAAAACAGUGUCACUGCAAACCAAGUGCUGGUUGGUUUACCCAUUAGCAGUGAACAUGAGCUGGAUUUGGACUGCCAUGAGCCAAGUU
rnacentral:ncRNA from 1 species